CCUAAGGCUGUUCCAGUUCUCAGCACCGCUCCUCUCUUUUCCUGAGUCCUUAGCAGUUGUCCUCCCCACGAUGACGUUUUCAUUGAGGCCAAGGAAAAGAGUUUAGGAAAAGGAGAUGGACUGCACUAGGGCAUGUGAUGUAUUUCCGUUUCCAAAUACUACCGCUUGGACGUUUACGGAGAAGAAAUACUCCGAGCAUUGCUGUGUCCCACUUUGUUCGGCUUCAGCCAAAUUUAACGGCAUACUAAGUUUUCAUGGCUUUCCGACCCAUUCCGACUUGAGAAGACAAUGGCUGGUAAACAUACGCCGGGAUCAUUUCACGAUUACCUCUCACACCAGGGUCUGCAGCAGACACUUUGCCAGUGAUCAACUCAUAGAGCCAACAACCCUUGAUGGUCGAAGGCGGCUUAUUAAAGGUGCUGUACCAACACUUUUUGAGUGGAAUGGCUUUAAAGUUGAACCACGCGGCGUAGUGUUUGGGAGAGAACGGAGCAAUGCCUUGAACUAGUUCCUGCUGACGAUCAAGAAGAGCACAGUCUUACAAGAGAUCAUGACUACUGCUCAGUCCCUGAGCCGUCUGCAUUGGACAUAUCUGCAUCAGCUGCAGAAGACCUGUCCAAAGACGUGGAGACUCUGAGGAAGGAAAUACAGGAGUUACGUGUCCAGCGAGAAUUUGGGUUACAGCGUUUUGCUGGCUCCGACACUGACAUCCGAUACUAUGCCAGAUACACUUAAGCUCUAUUCCAGCUAAUUGUUUAAAAUAUACCAAGGUCACCAUCAGUUGAAUUUCGAAAGUGUUUCCAGUCUUAAUGAAAACAAAAUAGAUAUUUACUUUUUCUCUGCUGAUUGUAUGUUUCAUGUAGAUGCUUUAGUAUUUCAACAAUAUGCUACAGGUAAAAUACAACACCAAAUAGACUGUUAAUCAGACUAUGUUAUACAGCAUACCAUUAGCAUAUUUGUCACAGUUUACAUUAUUUUUAUGUCAGUGUGUAAUGUUAAUUAAUGAUUGGCACGAUGUAUGUCUCUCUCGUGAAUAGAUUUCCAAGCUAUGAUCAUUUGAUGGCAUUUUGGUUUUUGAUUGAGCCUUGCAUCUAUAAAAUGAUCCGGGUUUCAAGAGCCAAGUCAGCUGCCAAUAGGAACGAAGAAGUGUUGACACCUGCACGCACAUCAACGAGGCAGCUGCUACAGCCAAUUGACGAGUUCUUUCUUUUCCUGGUUUUCCUGUCAGUUGGUUUGAAGGAGAGGGACCUGGCACACCGAUUUAACAUACACCAGUCCACAGUGAGCCGCAUUAUUGCAACAUGGACAAAUUUUCUUGCCACUGCACUGGGGUCUCAAUGCAUCUGGCUUACACGUGAAGAAGUGCAAGCUUACCUCCCUGAGGAAUUCAAAGAUUUCUCAGACACCCAGAUGAUCCUUGACUGUACAGAGCUGAGGUGUCAGACACCAUCCUCACCACUUCUCCAAAGUGAAAUGUACUCUUCGUACAAAUCCCACUGUACGAUCAAAGCCCUGGUUGGCAUAGCUCCACAUGGUCCAGUGACAUUCAUCUCUAAUCUGUAUGCUGGUUCGGUUAGUGACAAGGAACUAUUCAAACAAUCAGGCAUUGCUGAGAAGUUGACUGAAGACAUCACCGAUUGUUGUAAAUGCAAAGUGUACCGCCCACCUUUUCUAUCUAAGCAGAAGCAGAUGCCAGCAUACCAGGUUAAGGAGACGCAGGCCAUAGCCAGACUCAGGGUACAUGUGGAGCGAGUCAUUAGGAGGAUAAAACAGAACAAACUUUUUGAUAGCAUCAUUACCAUGUCACAUGUUUACAAUAUCAACCAACUGCUUGCAGUAGCAUGUAUGUUGUGAAAUUACCAGAAAACACCAUUAGUUAAAAAAUGGGUUAAGUGUGACAAGAUGGACUUUUCCCAAGACACCAGUGCCAGUACAACUUAUGGAAAAUGACCUGCAGCUGAGGCCACUACAGUUGCAUUUCUUCCUUGACAAAACUUGAUUACAGAACUGGUACUUGAGUGCUGAUUGUUGAGUUCCAGUUAUUGAUCAUUCUAAUUCAUUGCAAAUGUUGAAUGUUAAUAAUACUGUUUAAUUAUACUACUAUAUUACUAUUCAUAUUCAACAAAAUUGUUUAUCAAAAUUAUAAAGUAAAUCACUAAAUCGUUUUAAAAUCAUAAGUGACAUUGUGCUUUUGUAACAUCCAAAAUACCAUUUGUCAUGUUCUUCAUUCAGUUGUGUUAUUGUCUAAAUGUAUGUCAGUAUGCUAGGCAUGGAUUUUUAAAUACUUACCAUGUAAAUAAGUUUUGCACAAAUUCAAUGUUUUAAUGUGUGUGUUUAAAAAACUGAAAUUGAUGCCAUUGCUUAAAUAACAGUUUAUUGAUUUCACAUAAAAGUAACAUGUAACAACAAAAAUAUUCAUGGAAUACUUUGCAAAUAAAACAUCAGUUAUUUUGUUCCAGCCAG